rnacentral:rRNA from 1 species
GACAGAGGUGCCGAGCGUUAGGCGGAAUCACUGGGCUUAAAGCGUGUGUAGGCGGACCGUUAAGUACCUUGUGAAAUCCCCCGGCUCAACCGGGGAACGGCUGGGUAUACUGGCGGUCUUGAGCCACCUAGGGGCGAGCGGAACAAGCGGUGGAGCGGUGAAAUGCGUAGAUAUCGCUUGGAACGCCGACGGUAGAAAACGCUGCGCUGGGGGUGUGCUGACGCUGAGGCACGAAAGCCAGGGGAGCGAACGGG